GACGAACGCUGGCGGCGUGCUUAACACAUGCAAGUCGAACGGAAAGCCCGGGCUUUUGGGGGGUCCGCGGGGGGCGAACGGGUAACUAGCACGUGAGUUACCUUCACCUCAGGGUUAGAUAACCUAAGUAAGGUGGUGCUCUUACCGGAUAGGAUCUCCUGCUGCUUGGGUGGGGUUGGGAUGUUUCGGCGGUUGGUGAUGGACUCGCCGCUCAUCAGCUUGGUGGGGGGGUAGUGGCUUACCAAGGCAUUGACGAGUAGGCGGCCUGAGAGGGUGACCGGCCACACUGGGACUGAGAUACGGCCCAGACUACUACGGGAGGCAGCAGUGGGGAAUAUUGCACAAUGGGAGGAAGCCUGACGCAGCGACGCCGCGUGGGGGAUGACGGCCUUCGGGUUGUAAACCGAUUUCGUCUGUGACGAAGCGAGAGUGACGGUACCGGCAGAAGAAGCACCGGCUAACUACGUG
rnacentral:rRNA from 1 species